GACGAACGCUGGCGGCGUGCUUAACACAUGCAAGUCGAACGGAAAGGCCCUGCUUUUGUGGGGUGCUCGAGUGGCGAACGGGUGAGUAACACGUGAGUAACCUGCCCUUGACUUUGGGAUAACUUCAGGAAACUGGGGCUAAUACCGGAUAGGAGCUCCUGCUGCAUGGGGGGGGUUGGAGAGUUUCGGCGGUUGGGGAUGGUCUCGCGGCUUAUCAGCUUGUUGGUGGGGUAGUGGUUUACCAAGGGUUUGACGGGUAGCCGGCCUGGGAGGGUGACCGGCCACAUUGGGACUGAGAUACGGCCCAGACUCCUACGGGAGGCAGCAGUGGGGAAUAUGGCACAAUGGGCGGAAGCCUGAGGCAGCAGCGCCGCGUGCGGGAUGACGGCCUUCGGGUUGUAAACCGCUUUCGCCUGUGACGAAGCGUGAGUGACGGUAAUGGGUAAAGAAGCACCGGCUAACUACGUG
rnacentral:rRNA from 1 species